GUUUUUAUAGGAAUGGAAGGUCCCUUCGGUGCCAUGGAAAACAUCGGGCGCUUCCCAGCCGGGAUGAACAUGGGCAGGAUGACUGAGAUGGAUCGUGCCAUGGGGGGAGGAUUUGAAAGAGAAUUUGGAAGAAAUGAAAUGGGAAUGUCCCGGAGUUUCGGAGAGACCUUGGAGAGAGGAAUGGGUAGUGGCAAUGCCAACAUUCC